rnacentral:rRNA from 1 species
AGAGUUUGAUCCUGGCUCAGGAUGAAUUCCGGCGGCGUGCUUAACACAUGCAAGUCGAACGAAGCACUUUAACCUGAUUCUUCGGAUGAAGGUUUUUGUGACUGAGUGGCGGACGGGUGAGUAACGCGUGGGUAACCUGCCUCAUACAGGGGGAUAACAGUUAGAAAUGACUGCUAAUACCGCAUAAGACCACAGAGCCGCAUGGCUCAGUGGGAAAAACUCCGGUGGUAUGAGAUGGACCCGCGUCUGAUUAGGUAGUUGGUAGGGUAACGGCCUACCAAGCCAACGAUCAGUAGCCGACCUGAGAGGGUGGCCGGCCACAUUGGGACUGAGACACGGCCCAAACUCCUACGGGAGGCAGCAGUGGGGAAUAUUGCACAAUGGGGGAAACCCUGAUGCAGCGACGCCGCGUGAGCGAAGAAGUAUUUCGGUAUGUAAAGCUCUAUCAGCAGGGAAGAAAAUGACGGUACCUGACUAAGAAGCACCGGCUAAAUACGUGCCAGCAGCCGCGGUAAUACGUAUGGUGCAAGCGUUAUCCGGAUUUACUGGGUGUAAAGGGAGCGUAGACGGCUGUGUAAGUCUGAAGUGAAAGCCCGGGGCUCAACCCCGGGACUGCUUUGGAAACUAUGCAGCUAGAGUGUCGGAGAGGUAAGUGGAAUUCCCAGUGUAGCGGUGAAAUGCGUAGAUAUUGGGAGGAACACCAGUGGCGAAGGCGGCUUACUGGACGAUGACUGACGUUGAGGCUCGAAAGCGUGGGGAGCAAACAGGAUUAGAUACCCUGGUAGUCCACGCCGUAAACGAUGACUACUAGGGUCGGGGAGCAAGGCUCUUCGGUGCCGCCAGCAAACGCAAUAAGUAGUCCCCUGGGGGAGUACGUUCGCAAGAAAUGAAACUCAAAGGAAUUGACGGGGACCCGCACAAGCGGGGGAGCAUGUGGUUUAAUUCGAAGCAACGCGAAGAACCUUACCUGCUCUUGACAUCCCGGUGACCGGCGUGUAAUGACGCCUUUUCUUCGGAACACCGGUGACAGGUGGUGCAUGGUUGUCGUCAGCUCGUGUCGUGAGAUGUUGGGUUAAGUCCCGCAACGAGCGCAACCCUUAUCUUCAGUAGCCAGCAAUUCGGAUGGGCACUCUGGAGAGACUGCCAGGGAUAACCUGGAGGAAGGUGGGGAUGACGUCAAAUCAUCAUGCCCCUUAUGAGCAGGGCUACACACGUGCUACAAUGGCGUAAACAAAGGGAAGCGAGCCUGCGAGGGUAAGCAAAUCUCAAAAAUAACGUCUCAGUUCGGAUUGUAGUCUGCAACUCGACUACAUGAAGCUGGAAUCGCUAGUAAUCGCGAAUCAGCAUGUCGCGGUGAAUACGUUCCCGGGUCUUGCACUCACCGCCCGUCA